UACGGGGGGGGCAAGCGUUGUUCGGAAUUACUGGGCGUAAAGGGCUCGUAGGCGGCCAACUAGGUCAUACGUGAAAUCCCUCAGCUUAACUGGGGAACUGCGUGUGAUACUGGAUGGCUUGGAUUUGGGAGAGGGAUGCGGAAUUCCAGGUGUAGCGGUGAAAUGCGUAGAUAUCUGGAGGAACACCGGUGGCGAAGGCGGCAACCUGGACCAAUAUUGACGCUGAGGAGCGAAAGCCAGGGGAGCAAACGGG
rnacentral:rRNA from 1 species